rnacentral:rRNA from 1 species
CUGAAACUGGUUGGCUAGAGUCUUGUAGAGGGGGGUAGAAUUCCAUGUGUAGCGGUGAAAUGCGUAGAGAUGUGGAGGAAUACCGGUGGCGAAGGCGGCCCCCUGGACAAAGACUGACGCUCAGGUGCGAAAGCGUGGGGAGCAAACAGGAUUAGAUACCCUGGUAGUCCACGCUGUAAACGAUGUCGAUUUAGAGGUUGUGGUCUUGAACCGUGGCUUCUGGAGCUAACGCGUUAAAUCGACCGCCUGGGGAGUACGGCCGCAAGGUUAAAACUCAAAUGAAUUGACGGGGGCCCGCACAAGCGGUGGAGCAUGUGGUUUAAUUCGAUGCAACGCGAAGAACCUUACCUACUCUUGACAUCCAGCGAAUCCUUUAGAGAUAGAGGAGUGCCUUCGGGAACGCUGAGACAGGUGCUGCAUGGCUGUCGUCAGCUCGUGUUGUGAAAUGUUGGGUUAAGUCCCGCAACGAGCGCAACCCU